UGUCACUCUUCAAAGAUUACCUCGAGGUGUACAUUUCCUAAAGCAAAAAAUUCUGCCCGCUCUGGAGAAGCAAUAACUGCAACCAAAUUGCUGGACAGGAAUCAGGAGGAGAGACAGUAAUUGGCUAAUGGCUCUGCAUCCCAAUGUCAGGACAAGACCUUCAAAAUACAAGGAGUAAGUCUUCUGGAAUAAGGACUGGAGUACGUCUACGAUUAGAAGGAAAAAUUCUUUAGGAAUCAAAACAUGCCCUUAACUAGAAUUCACAGCGCUAGUCAGUCUCCUCUGCCCCAGCAAGAAGCCUUGGUUUGACCUGAGCCUGAGCUGCUAUAACCACCUCCUGCCUGCGUGCUGGCAGCCUCCAGCACCUGGGCCAUCAGCCCAGCCUGAGUUCAUUGCGAUAAGGGCAUGCGGCAUAGCUGGAAGCUGCAGAGAUCGCCAGAACCCGUCCCUGCUGCAGCUCUUCUCAUUUGGGACACGGGAUCAAGACAGCUUGUUGACCAGGAACAACUCACCUAGACUGCCAUCAUUCUAAAUCUUGAAGCUUUGCAGGAAUCCAAGAACUGCCAACAUGCCUUUGAUGUCUUAUGAUGAUUACUGCAACAGACCUCUUAAGAAAUGAGCAUAGAACACCUAUGCUUGCUACACAAAAGGGAGAAGGUUGGAGAAGAGAGUAAGUUAAUUCAGGAAAACAGAAGGAAAAAGUUGUUCUCCUUGGCUACUGAAGUUUUUCCUUCAUGCUGCUUUCUCUAAAAGCAGAAGGACUGACUGGAUGGAAAUCACAUGAAGAAGUUUCCAGCUUUUUUUUUUUUGUUUAAUCACUGAGUAGCCUACGCAUCCUGCUCUUUUUCCCUCCUCUCUCCCUAACGUGAAUAUGACACAACCAGAAAAUCCAGCAGAUGAGUACUCAAGUGCAAUAAGAAAGUCUGUCCAGGCUGCAACCUCACUACCUGCUCUGCCAAACCUUUAUGCCUUCUCUUAAUGGCAUCUUAACACAGCCUGUGUCUCUUCUGUGUGUACCUUGUAUGCUUUGGGAACAAGAAGAUCAAAAGGACACCUCUAGUAUCAGUCACUUGUGUUGUAAUAUUAUCAAUUCAUACAUUUGUUUCCGUGUUUAAAUGACUACUUUCUUACUUCGGUUGCCGUGCUUUGUUCUUACUGAGUUAUCUCAACCCACAACAUUGCUAUUGCAAAUGUCUGUUGAAAGAUUAUAUGAACAGAACUGAGGAAGCAGAAAACCACAGCUGGUCCUAUAGUUUGGACGCUUUAAUCUACCUGUAUUUGAUUUUCUUCUCUAAACACAUCGCUGUUGCGUUGAAGCUGCUUCUAAGGAUUAAUUAGCAAAGCAAUUAGCAUGUGUUAACCUUUUUAUUUUCUUACCCAUCCCGAAGGUACAUACAUACCUUGGUCAGUUUGUGCUUCAAAAUUACACUUUUUGAUGUUGUUAAUCAAGGUCAGAUUAAUUAAAUACUGCUUUAUGUACAACCAAAGUUUGGACUGGAG
ensembl:lncRNA